CGUAGUCGAUGGGAAACAGGUUAAUAUUCCUGUACUUGGUGUUACUGCGAAGGGGGGACGGAGAAGGCUAUGUUGGCCGGGCGACGGUUGUCCCGGUUUAAGCGUGUAGGCUGGUUUUCCAGGCAAAUCCGGAAAAUCAAGGCUGAGGCGUGAUGACGAGGCACUACGGUGCUGAAGCAACAAAUGCCCUGCUUCCAGGAAAAGCCUCUAAGCAUCAGGUAACAUCAAAUCGUACCCCAAACCGACACAGGUGGUCAGGUAGAGAAUACCAAGGCGCUUGAGAGAACUCGGGUGAAGGAACUAGGCAAAAUGGUGCCGUAACUUCGGGAGAAGGCACGCUGAUAUGUAGGUGAAGUCCCUCGCGGAUGGAGCUGAAAUCAGUCGAAGAUACCAGCUGGCUGCAACUGUUUAUUAAAAACACAGCACUGUGCAAACACGAAAGUGGACGUAUACGGUGUGACGCCUGCCCGGUGCCGGAAGGUUAAUUGAUGGGGUCAGCGCAAGCGAAGCUCUUGAUCGAAGCCCCGGUAAACGGCGGCCGUAACUAUAACGGUCCUAAGGUAGCGAAAUUCCUUGUCGGGUAAGUUCCGACCUGCACGAAUGGCGUAAUGAUGGCCAGGCUGUCUCCACCCGAGACUCAGUGAAAUUGAACUCGCUGUGAAGAUGCAGUGUACCCGCGGCAAGACGGAAAGACCCCGUGAACCUUUACUAUAGCUUGACACUGAACAUUGAGCCUUGAUGUGUAGGAUAGGUGGGAGGCUUUGAAGUGUGGACGCCAGUCUGCAUGGAGCCGACCUUGAAAUACCACCCUUUAAUGUUUGAUGUUCUAACGUGGACCCGUGAUCCGGGUUGCGGACAGUGUCUGGUGGGUAGUUUGACUGGGGCGGUCUCCUCCUAAAGAGUAACGGAGGAGCACGAAGGUUGGCUAAUCCUGGUCGGACAUCAGGAGGUUAGUGCAAUGGCAUAAGCCAGCUUGACUGCGAGCGUGACGGCGCGAGCAGGUGCGAAAGCAGGUCAUAGUGAUCCGGUGGUUCUGAAUGGAAGGGCCAUCGCUCAACGGAUAAAAGGUACUCCGGGGAUAACAGGCUGAUACCGCCCAAGAGUUCAUAUCGACGGCGGUGUUUGGCACCUCGAUGUCGGCUCAUCACAUCCUGGGGCUGAAGUAGGUCCCAAGGGUAUGGCUGUUCGCCAUUUAAAGUGGUACGCGAGCUGGGUUUAGAACGUCGUGAGACAGUUCGGUCCCUAUCUGCCGUGGGCGCUGGAGAACUGAGGGGGGCUGCUCCUAGUACGAGAGGACCGGAGUGGACGCAUCACUGGUGUUCGGGUUGUCAUGCCAAUGGCACUGCCCGGUAGCUAAAUGCGGAAGAGAUAAGUGCUGAAAGCAUCUAAGCACGAAACUUGCCCCGAGAUGA
rnacentral:rRNA from 1 species